rnacentral:rRNA from 1 species
GAUUUGAAAUCUGACCUUCGGGUCCGAGUUGUAAUCUGCAGAUGAGUCUUCCGGCAGAGCGCCGUCCAAGUGCCCUGGAACGGGUCGCCGGAGAGGGUGAGAGCCCCGUACCGACGCGCGCCGAGCCUCUGUGAAGCUCAUUCGAAGAGUCGAGUAGUUUGGAAAUGCUGCUCUAAUUGUGGGGUAAAUCUCCCAUAAGGCUAAAUACCGGCCAGAGACCGAUAGCGCACAAGUAGCGUGAGCGAAAGAUGAAAAGAGCCUUGAACAAGGGCGUCAAAAAGCAUGUGAAAUUGUUGUGGGGGAAGCGUUCGAUGCCAGACAUGGCGGCGGUUGGUUACCCGGCGUUCUUCGCCGGCGCACUCUGCCGUCGCCAGGCCAGCAUCAGUUCGGAUCGAGGCCUACUGCCAGUGGGAACGUGGCUCCUCCGGGAGUGUUAUAGCCCAUUGGUAACGUCUCGGACCGGACUGAGGACCGCGCUUCGGCUCGGAUGCUGGCGUAAUGGCCUCUAGCGACCCGUCUUGAAACACGGACCAAGGAGUUGACCUAGCGUGCGAGUGUUUGGGUGUCAAGCCCUUACGCGCAGUGAAAGCGAAUGCAGGUGGGAGCUUCGGCGCACCAUCGACCGAUCCUGAAGUUUACGGAUGGAUUUGAGUAAGAGCACGUUGGGUCUGACCCGAAAGAAGGUGAACUAUGCAUGA